CAACCCUCGAUUUCCCUUUGGGGAAGUCGGCCGUUGGAGAUCGGCAGCACUGCCGGCUCCCAAAUACAGUGGCGACCCGCCGCGGGGACCCCUGCGUAGUAACUUACACUCGCACCGGAAACCAGACGUGUCACGCCGUAAAACCCCCAACUUUCUGAA
rnacentral:misc_RNA from 2 species